rnacentral:rRNA from 1 species
AGCGAACGCUGGCGGCAGGCUUAACACAUGCAAGUCGAGCGGGCACUUUCGGGUGUCAGCGGCGGACGGGUGCGUAACGCGUGGGAACGUGCCCUCUGGUUCGGAAUAACUCAGGGAAACUUGAGCUAAUACCGGAUACGCCCUUUUGGGGAAAGGCUUGCUGCCGGAGGAUCGGCCCGCGUCUGAUUAGCUAGUUGGUGAGGUAACGGCUCACCAAGGCGACGAUCAGUACCUGGUCUGAGAGGAUGAUCAGCCACACUGGGACUGAGACACGGCCCAGACUCCUACGGGAGGAAGCAGUGGGGAAUAUUGGACAAGGGGCGCAAGCCUGAUACAGCCAUGCCGCGUGAGUGAUCAAGGCCUUAGGGUUGUAAAGCUCUUUUAUCCGGGACGAUAAUGACGGUACCGGAGGAAUAAGCCCCGGCUAACUUCGUG